AAGGUACAAGGUUCAGCCACGUUAAACGACUUUAUAGAGAGCAGGAACUUAGUGGCCAUGAAAUUUUACCUUCGGUUGGGGCGACCACGGAGGAAAAAUAAGCCUCCGAGUGGACUGGGCCAAACCCCUAAAGCCAAGAGAAACAUCUCUAAGCCGCAGAACAUCUGACCAAUAAUGAUCCGACUGAAAAGCCGAUCAACGAACCAAGUUACCCUAGGGAUAACAGCGCAAUCCUCUCCCAGAGCCCAUAUCGACGAGGGGGU
rnacentral:rRNA from 1 species